AGAAAAACCAUUAGGAUGGGACCAUUAUCAAACAGAAUACAACAGAAAGCCAGACAAAAGUUUCAGUCUGUCUAGCAAAAUUUUGUAGCAGAGUGACAACAUAUUGAUAAGAGAGAACCAUUAAGGUUCUAGAGCUUUGAGAAAGCUUAUCUAGCUAAACCAUUUUAAACUUACUAAAAUAGUUGAUCAACUCGCAAUAGUGUUUAUCUAGCCAGUGAUCAUUGUUCCAGCCCCUUCAUCAGUGAGAAUCUCAAGAAGUAAGGAAUGCUGCAGCCUUCCAUCGAUAAUACUUGCAGUCUUCACCCCUUGAGCUAAAGACCUGACACAACAAUUCACCUUGGGGAUCAUCCCACCGGCAAUCUUGCCAUCAUCUGUCAUCUUCUUCACUCCUUUUAUGUCGAUCUGCUUCACCAAACUCCCAGGAUCAUUACGGUCUUCUAGAAUUCCAGCCACAUCUGUCAACAAGAGUAGCUUUUCAGCUCCAAGAGCGGCUGCCAACUCACCUGCUGCUGUGUCUGCAUUAAUAUUGUAGGAUUGACCCGUCUUAUCAGCUGCAACAGAUGCGAUCACUGGGAUAUGGUAAUUGUCAAUGAGAGGCCGCAGUACACUAGGGUCCACACUAGCAAUGUCCCCAACAAAACCAAGUUGUUCAGAGUUGGGGGAAGGACGUGCAGUUAAAAGGUGGCCGUCAAUUCCUGAUAACCCCACUGCAGUUGCCCCAGCCUUGUUAAUCAAGGAAACCAAAUGUUUGUUGACUUUACCCACCAAGACCAUUGAUACAAUCUCCAUGGUUGAGGCAUCAGUGACACGAAGGCCAUUCAAAAAGUUGGGUUUGAUACCCAAUUUACCUAGCCAUUGGUUGAUUUCAGGACCACCCCCGUGGACAAAGACAAUGCGCAUACCAACACAAGAAAGAAGGACAAGAUCAGCAAUAACAGACGCCUGAAGUGCCUCAGAUUUCAUAGCAGCUCCUCCAUAUUUCACUACAAUAGUCUUGCCUCGAAAUUUUUGAAUAAAUGGUAGUGCUUCAGAAAGGAUUUUCACUCGGGUUGCUCCCGGGUAAGAUUGAACAUCAGGUGCAAUGACGGAUUCCAAGGAAGUUUUGAGGCAUGAGGCCUGAAAAGGGUUGCUAAGAAUGUUUCGAUUGGCUUUGAUAGCUGGAAUGGAUUUUGGAAAAAUGAGACUGGAAUCUGGAGAGUUGGAGACUUUGCUAACUGGGGAAGAGAGUGAGAAGGUUUUAGCAGCCAACAUCCUCUAUUCCUUUACUUCCUCCCCUUCUCUAUUGAGUCUAAAUAGCAGGGGAAGUGUAACACUAUAAGUUCUUAAAGACCGUUCGUUUAAUGGGGGUCAAUGCAUCAAAGAAACCUGGAAACAGUGUGUGCUCGGCAGUGAGAGAGAGAGGAGGAGGAGGCGGCGGCCGGUAGCUCAAUUUUCUCCGAUGGACAGAUUUUAUUAUUCG
rnacentral:misc_RNA from 1 species